rnacentral:rRNA from 1 species
GACAGAGGGUGCAAACGUUGUUCGGAAUUACUGGGCGUAAAGCGCGUGUAGGCGGCUAUGUAAGUCGGGCGUGAAAUCCCACGGCUCAACCGUGGAAGUGCACCCGAACUGCGUAGCUAGAGUCCUGGAGAGGAAGGUGGAAUGCUUGGUGUAGAGGUGAAAUUCGUAGAUAUCAAGCGGAACACCGGUGGCGAAGGCGGCCUUCUGGACAGUGACUGACGCUGAGGUGCGAAAGCGUGGGGAGCAACAGGAUUAAGAUACCCGGU